CGUGAGGGAAAGGUGAAAAGUACUUCGAAUAGAAGGGUGAAAUAGAUCCUGAAACCAUACGCUUACAAACUGUCGGAGCUUCUUUUUGAAGUGACGACGUGCCUUUUGCAUAAUGAACCUACGAGUUAAUUUUUCCGGCAAGGUUAAAUAGUUCAGCUAUGGAGCCAUAGCGAAAGCAAGUCUGAAUAGGGCGUGUAGUCGGAAGAAUUAGACGCGAAACCGAGUGAUCUAUCCAUGAGCAGGUUGAAGCUGUGGUAACACAUAGUGGAGGACCGAACCGGUUGACGUUGAAAAGUCUUCGGAUGACUUGUGGAUAGGGGUGAAAGGCCAAUCAAACUCGGAGAUAGCUCGUACUCCCCGAAAUGCAUUUAGGUGCAGCAUCGUGUUAAAUAAUACAGAGGUAGAGCUACUGAUUGGAUGAAGGGGUUUCAUCACCUACUAAUUCCUGACAAACUCCGAAUGCUGUUAUUAUGUUUCACGGUAGUGAGGGCAUGGGUGCUAAGGUCCAUGUCCAAGAGGGAAACAACCCAGACCAUCAGUUAAGGCCCCUAAGUAUAUAUUAAGUUGAACAAACGAGGUUCAGUUACUGAGACAGCUACGAAUGGUGUAACGAUCUGGAAACUGUCUCAGCCGUGAGCUCGGUGAAAUUGUAAUAUCGGUGAAGAUGCCGAUUACUCGCAAUGGGACGAAAAGACCCUGUGAACCUUUACUAUAGCUUCGUAUUGGUUUUGAUUAAAAAAUGUGUAGGAUAGGUGGGAAACCUUGAAACGUUGUCGCCAGGCAAUGUGGAGUUGCCCUUGAAAUACCACCCUUUUUUUAGUUGAAGUCUAACUCAAUCUAAAAAAAUUGAGGACAUUGCGUGGUGGGUAGUUUGACUGGGGUGGUCGCCUCCAAAAAGGUAACGGAGGCUCCCAAAGGUACCCUCAACACGUUUGGUAAUCGUGUGUAGAGUGUAAUGGCAUAAGGGUGCUUGACUGUGAGACUUACAAGUCGAUCAGGUACGAAAGUAGGGCAUAGUGAUCCGGUGGUUCCGUAUGGAAGGGCCAUCGCUCAAAGGAUAAAAGGUACUCCGGGGAUAACAGGCUAGUCUCCCCCAAGAGCUCACAUCGACGGGGAGGU
rnacentral:rRNA from 1 species